CACGUAGUUAGCCGGGGGCUUCUUAGUCAGGUACCGUCAUUUUCUUCCCUGCUGAUAGAGCUUUACAUACCGAAAUACUUCAUCGCUCACGCGGCGUCGCUGCAUCAGGGUUCCCCCCAUUGUGCAAUAUCCCCCACUGCUGCCUCCCGUAGGAGUUUGGGCCGUGUCUCAGUCCCAAUGUGGCCGUUCACCCUCUCAGGCCGGCUACUGAUCGUCGCCUUGGGUGGGCCGUUACCCCGCCAACUAACUAAUCAGACGCGGGUCCAUCUCAUACCACCGGAGUUUUACCACUGCACCAUGCAGUGCUGUGGUCUUAUGCGUAUUAGCAGUCAUUUCUAACUGUUAUCCCCCUGUACUGAGGCGAGGUUACCCACGUCGUUACUCACCCGUCCGCCGCUCAGUCAAUCUACUUUUCCCUACCGAAAGAACUACAAGACAAAGUGACUUCGCUCCGUACUUCGCUA
rnacentral:rRNA from 1 species